GACGAACGCUGGCGGCGUGCUUAACACAUGCAAGUCGAACGGAAAGGCCCUGCUUUUGUGGGGUUCUCGAGUGGCGAACGGGUGAGUAACACGUGAGUAUCCUGCCCUUGACUUUGGGAUAACUUCAGGAAACUGGGGCUAAUACCGGAUAGGAGCUCCUGCUGCAUGGUGGGGGUUGGAAAGUUUCGGCGGUUGGGGAUGGACUCGCGGUUUAUCAGCUUGUUGGGGGGGUAGUGGCUUACCAAGGCUUUGACGGGUAGCCGGCCUGGGAGGGUGACCGGCCACAUUGGGACUGAGAUACGGACCAGACGGCUACGGGAGGCAGCAGGGGGAAAUAUUACACAAUGGGCGGAAGCCUGAUGCAGCAACGCCGCGUGCGGAAAGACGGCCUUCGGGUUGUAAACCGCUUUCGCCUGUGACGAAGCGUGAGUGACGGUAACGGGUAAAGAAGCACCGGCUAACUACGUG
rnacentral:rRNA from 1 species